UAGAAACUUGCAUAUUAAUUAAAUUUGGAAAAAUUUAAUUAAUAGCACUUCUUUAUUAAACUUAAUUAUUUUUGUGACUUGAGAACGUCGUCUCCCUCUUUCUUUCCAUUUCCUUAGCGGCCGCCUGAGGCGUCGCGGGGCAAUGCCGGUCGGCCGCUUACGCCUAUAAUUCCUCCGUUGGCUCCUCGUAUUUUUCUCAACGAUAUCGAAUUAAAUCCUAAGAUUUAAUUGAGCACAUGAAUUAAUUAUCGAAGAUGUUUUCCCUUGCAAUAUUUAUUUCGGACUUGGGAUAAAUUAUUCAUCCUUCGAAAUAUUCCAAAAAAUUAACUAACUAAUUCUCAACAAUUAAAUUAUCGGCCCAAGGAUUAAUUACUUGACCCAAGAUAAUUGUUAUCUUAGUCCACCUUAUUUCACCAAUUUAUUUAGUGAGGCCAAAAGAAAAAUAGUCCAAAUUAAUAUAUCCCCAUCCUUAUUUCUCCAUUUAUGUAAUAAUGCCCAACUAAAAUUGGUGUUGUGUACCUUACUAAUUAUUCUACAAAAACAUAACAACUUGGAUCAUAACAAAUCAUUUUAUCUUACUUAACCAUUUGAUUUAAGCCCAGAAAUAAUUAAAUUUGAAAUCGAACCUCACAUUCACUAUGCACUGCAGCCCCAAUUUGUUUAUAAGUGCUCGAAUUUAUGUUUACAUAGUCCAAACUUCCAUUCAAUUAAUUUGUCUCAUCUCAAAACAAUUUGUAAACUUUGUGUAGUCCAACUUCUAACUUGAAGAAGGAAACGGACUCUCCCUAUCUCAAGUCAUCCCCAAAAGGUUAAUAUUGAUUUCACUAAACUUAGUGUGAUUCGAAAUAUUCCACUAGUCUAAUAUAUACACAUGUGAGACAAAUCAUUAUCGGGCCAAAGAAUUAACAUUUUAGAGCCCAAAACAAUAAUAAUCCCCAACCCAAAAUAAUUUGAAGGAGCCCAAGUCAAAAGUGAUUUAAGAAAAAGAUAAAACAUGAAAACAUGGAAGUAUUCUCCCAUUCCCUACGCAAGUCUACUCCCUUCCUUCACUUUUCACUUUAACCCAAUAAAUAUUAUAGUAGGAGUACUAAAUAAUUAAAUGAGAAAAUCAAAUACUCCCUUAACCCCCCUAUGCGUAUCUCUCUCUUCUCUCUCCCUCGCAUUUUUUUUCUUUUCUCCCCAAAACAGAACCCGCCGAUUUUCUCCGAUUCGCCGUGGUGCAAGAAUCGACGUUGCCGUCGACUCCGAUCUCUCUCUCUCUCUCGAUUUCCACCGCCUCACAUCACCGCUGCUCCACCGCCCCAGCCCCCUUCUCUCCUGAAUCUGCCGCCGCCGUCCCUUCUUUCUCUCCAGCUUCGCCGCCGCUCGCCAGCGCCGCCGCUCCGUCGGACUCCCGAAAGGUUGUGAAAUUAGUGACGUAUCGGAGUGGGGGCUGUCCUUGGUUGUCUCCGGGCUGCCGAAGAGCCGUCGCCGGAAAUCCGGCAGAUUCAUGUUCAAGAUAAGAUUCUCAAUUUAUGCUUACCCUGGUUGUAGGACUUAGUUGUCUAUUUUAUAAAUUUGGUGAAUUCUGGACAAUUGUGUGUCUUCUUGGAAGACUUAAUGGUGAAACAAGUAAUUCUUGGUGUUUAUUGUUAACAUUUGGGCAGAUUCUUCUUCCAACUACAUAUAUGCAUGCUUGUACAUAGAUGAAAGAAAAGAAAGGCUUGGUGUUUACCUUUUGAUGUGGCAGUUAAGUGUUGUUGGAUGGUAGUGUUUCACUCUACGAAUUGUGUGAAAUUCUCCUUCCUCAAACUCCUAUAUCCAUGUUGGCUUGGUGUGUGCAGACAACUUAGGAUUACUUAGGAUUUGAGGGUGAUGCGUGUGUGAGGGAAAGAAAAAUGAUUGUAUACAAUACAAAAAAGGUGGCAUUGAAAGUGACGUGUAACAAGUUGGUGUAGCAAGUUGCAUGGUAUUCUUAUCUCUAAUUAUUCUCUUUUGUCAGAAGGGAUAUGAUUUGUCUGCCCUCAUUAAAUGUGGCAUUUAAUGUUUUGAAAAAAAAAAUCAUCCUCAUGAUCGGCCCUCUCUCCCCUUUUUUAUAUAUAUAUUAUUUGUUUAAUUUGGUGCAGGAAAAAAAAUCCAAUUCCAGUUCGGAGCUGUUCUCGUUGAUGUACCCGAUUUUCUUUAGAACAAAAGAUGUAUUAAAUUAAAUUUUUGUUGGACUUUUAUUGGAUGUAUCGGACAUUAAGAUUUUGAUUAUGGGACUUUAUUUAUUUACUUAAA